GACGAACGCUGGCGGCGCGCCUAACACAUGCAAGUCGAACGGAGCUAAGAGGAGCUUGCUUUUCUUAGCUUAGUGGCGAACGGGUGAGUAACGCGUGAGUAACCUGCCCUGGAGUGGGGGACAACAGUUGGAAACGACUGCUAAUACCGCAUAAGCCCACGGAUCCGCAUGGAUCUGCGGGAAAAGGAUUUAUUCGCUUCAGGAUGGACUCGCGUCCAAUUAGCUAGUUGGUGAGGUAACGGCCCACCAAGGCGACGAUUGGUAGCCGGACUGAGAGGUUGAACGGCCACAUUGGGACUGAGACACGGCCCAGACUCCUACGGGAGGCAGCAGUGGGGGAUAUUGCACAAUGGGGGAAACCCUGAUGCAGCGACGCCGCGUGGAGGAAGAAGGUUUUCGGAUUGUAAACUCCUGUCGUUAGGGACGAUAAUGACGGUACCUAACAAGAAAGCACCGGCUAACUACGUGCCAGCAGCCGCGGUAAAACGUAGGGUGCAAGCGUUGUCCGGAAUUACUGGGUGUAAAGGGAGCGCAGGCGGACCGGCAAAGUUGGAAGUGAAAACCAUGGGCUCAACCCAUGAACUGCUUUCAAAACUGCUGGCCUUGAGUAGUGCAGAGGUAGGUGGAAUUCCCGGUGUAGCGGUGGAAUGCGUAGAUAUCGGGAGGAACACCAGUGGCGAAGGCGACCUACUGGGCACCAACUGACGCUGAGGCUCGAAAGCAUGGGUAGCAAACAGGAUUAGAUACCCUGGUAGUCCAUGCCGUAAACGAUGAUUACUAGGUGUUGGAGGAUUGACCCCUUCAGUGCCGCAGUUAACACAAUAAGUAAUCCACCUGGGGAGUACGACCGCAAGGUUGAAACUCAAAGGAAUUGACGGGGGCCCGCACAAGCAGUGGAGUAUGUGGUUUAAUUCGAAGCAACGCGAAGAACCUUACCAGGUCUUGACAUCCGAUGCAUAGUGCAGAGAUGCAUGAAGUCCUUCGGGACAUCGAGACAGGUGGUGCAUGGUUGUCGUCAGCUCGUGUCGUGAGAUGUUGGGUUAAGUCCCGCAACGAGCGCAACCCUUAUUGCCAGUUACUACGCAAGAGGACUCUGGCGAGACUGCCGUUGACAAAACGGAGGAAGGUGGGGAUGACGUCAAAUCAUCAUGCCCUUUAUGACCUGGGCUACACACGUACUACAAUGGCGUUUAACAAAGAGAAGCAAGACCGCGAGGUGGAGCAAAACUCAGAAACAACGUCUCAGUUCAGAUUGCAGGCUGCAACUCGCCUGCAUGAAGUCGGAAUUGCUAGUAAUCGCGGAUCAGCAUGCCGCGGUGAAUACGUUCCCGGGCCU
rnacentral:rRNA from 1 species